CCAAUCAGAUUCCACCCUUCAUUUUCCAAAGGAGCUGUCAAAAAUGACAGGUGGAAGCUGAUUGGUUGCUAUGGGCGACAAAGCCAGUUCUACUUUACACCAGUUUGAUAGAUGACCCCAUACAUUUCUAUUUUUGUACCUCACCUGCCCCCGUGAUACACAUUGCACAGAUAGCACUUUCUGUAAAUGUAACAUCCCAUAAGCUAUGAGAACUGAAUAGCGGUCAUGUCUGCCACGUUUGGAUCCAGCAGGGAAGAAAGGUAUAGAAGCAGGCGGACAUGUUGCAGUUUAUAGUGAAGGUCCUUAUAAUCGUAUCUUCUGUGGAUUCGGCUGCGGGGAAGGGAAUCUCUUACCUUGCCUGCCUGAGGAUGAUUUUGUGCUCGUGUCUGUGUUUCAGUAUACUUGACGUCCCAAUGUCACGGACCAGUGCGACACAGUACCAGGUAGCAUGACUGGGAGGCGGUUGGAUAAUCUUAAAAGGGUUUGUCCAGUUUUAAACGUAUAUAUCCGGUCCUCAAGGUUAGGGGCUAAGAGAAUGAUCGGUGGUGGUCCAACUUCUCCCAAAGCUGGGGUCCUGUGCCACCCAUGUGCGCUGCUGCUCUAUUUAUCUCUGGGACGGUGGAGGAGAAGCGGAGUACACAGUAUGGCAGACACCAGCAGUGCCAUAGAGAUGAAUGCAGCAGCAUUGCACAGGACCCCCUGAUCGGUUGGUUGGACCCCCACCAAUCAGACUCGUAUCCACAAAACUUGGCAAACCCCUUUAAUGCUGGAAGACACCAUGUACAUGAGCAUAUCGAUAUUUGUAUUAGCGAUUGCCAAUACGGUCGCUGCAAGUGAUCUAAUAGCAGUUACAGACCCUGUUGAGCCGCAUGUAUAAUGUG